rnacentral:rRNA from 1 species
ACGUUAGCGGCGGACGGGUGAGUAACACGUGGGUAACCUACCUAUAAGACUGGGAUAACUCCGGGAAACCGGGGCUAAUACCGGAUAAUACAUGAAACCGCAUGGUUUCAUGAUGAAAGACGGUUUUGCUGUCACUUAUAGAUGGACCCGCGGCGUAUUAGCUAGUUGGUAAGGUAACGGCUUACCAAGGCAACGAUACGUAGCCGACCUGAGAGGGUGAUCGGCCACACUGGAACUGAGACACGGCCCAG